GACAGAGGUGCCGAGCGUUAGGCGGAAUCACUGGGCUUAAAGCGUGUGUAGGCGGAUCGUUAAGUACCUUGUGAAAUCCCACGGCUCAACCGUGGAACUGCUGGGUAUACUGGCGGUCUUGAGCCACCUAGGGGCGAGCGGAACAAGCGGUGGAGCGGUGAAAUGCGUAGAUAUCGCGUGGAACGCCGACGGUGAAAACAGCUCGCUGGGGGUGUGCUGACGCUGAGACACGAAAGCCAGGGGAGCGAACGGG
rnacentral:rRNA from 1 species